UGUUGAAGUCCAAUCAAGCAGGAGACACCAGCCUCCCCUGUACCCAGCUGUGUGUCCAUGAAGAGUCACUGGUCUAUGGAUCCUCCUAUAAUGUUUAGAGAGGGAGACUUUUCUACUGAACAAAGUCCAAUCAAGCAGGAUACACCAGCCUCCCCUGUACCCAGCUAUGUGUCCAUGAAGAGUCACUGGUCUAUGGAUCCUCCUAUAAUGUUUAGAGAGGGAGACUUUUCUACUGAACAAAGAGAGAAGAGGAGAGACAGAGAGAAGAGGAGAG